GGUAAUACCCGAUGAUCCACGGCGGCCGCAUGGUCGCCGUGGCAAAGCUCCGGCGCCUUUGGAUCGGGGAAUGCGCUAUCAGGUUGUUGGUGAGGUAACGGCUCACCAAGCCAGAGACGGCUAGCGGGUGUGAGAGCAUGACCCGCCGCAUCGGAACUGAGACACUGUCCGGACUCCUACGGGAGGCUGCAGCGACGAAUCUUCCGCAAUGUACGCAAGUAUGACGGAGCAAUGCCGCGUGCAGGAUGAAGCCCCUCGGGGUGUAAACUGCUGUCAGGGUCUAGGAAGAUCUGACCGGACCCAAAGGAAGGACCGGCUAAGUUCGUGCCAGCAGCCGCGGUAAUACGAACGGUCCGAGCGUUGAGCGGAUUCACUGGGCUUAAAGGGUGCGUAGGCGGACAUGCAAGUGUCUUGUGAAAUCCCACGGCUCAACCGUGGAAUUGCGGGGCAAACUGUGUGUCUUGAGGUCGGUAGGGGUUGCCGGAACUCUAGGUGUAGCGGUGAAAUGCGUAGAUAUCUAGAGGAACACCAAUGGCGAAGGCAGGCAACUGGGCCGAUUCUGACGCUGAGGCACGAAAGCGUGGGGAGCAAACGGGAUUAGAUACCCUGGUAGUCCACGCCGUAAACGUUGUGCACUAGAUCCCGGAGGUUCUGACACCAUCGGGGUCGCAGUAAAAGCGUUAAGUGCACCGCCUGGGGAGUACGGUCGCAAGAUUAAAACUCAAAGGAAUUGACGGGGGCUCACACAAGCGGUGGAGCAUGUGGCUUAAUUCGAGGCAACGCGAAGAACCUUAUCCUGGGUUUGACAUGCAAGGAUUAGCUCUGUGAAAGCGGAGUGACGCGGCUUGCCGUGGAACUUGCACAGGUGCUGCAUGGCUGUCGUCAGCUCGUGCUGUGAAGUGUCGGGUUAAGUCCCUUAACGAGCGAAACCCCUGUCGCUAGUUGCUAACGCGUUAUGGCGAGGACUCUAGCGAGACUGCCGGUGUCAAACCGGAGGAAGGUGGGGAUGACGUCAAGUCCUCAUGGCCUUUAUGCCCAGGGCUGCACACGUGCUACAAUGGCGUGUACAGAGGGAAGCAAUACCGCGAGGU
rnacentral:rRNA from 1 species